CUGUGAUCGGCUGAUCGCCUCCGCACCCACGAUAUAAAGCAGACCGGCCCCGUGGAAACGAGCCCAAGCCAAGCUAGCACAUCCAUCCAGGAGGAACGGAACCAAAGGUCUGCUGGUCGCGCGCGUGCCACUAGUCAGGAGACGGGAUGGGCAACCUUGUCUCGCAGUGCGUCGGGAACGGUGCCGGCGCGCGGCCUCUGGUCAUCGGGGCGACGGACGGCAGCCGAACGAUGGUCGAGGAGAACACCGCGGUCGCGGAGCUGAUGAUCGACGCGCCGGGGCACGUGGUUGCUCGCGCCACGGACGUGGCGAGGGAGCGACGGUUGCGGGCGAUGGCGGCCGACGAGGUCCUGCGCGCUGGCGUGGUGUACCUCCUCGUGCCGGCAGGCCGGGCCGGUGCGCGGCUAGGCGGCCGUGAGGUCGAGGCCAUCGGGAGGCUGGUCUCUGGGAAGAAGGGUUCGAGGAAGAGCAGGCCCGGCGGCGGCAGGAGGGUCUUUCCGGACGUCAGCGCCGAAGAGGACGCGGCUGAAAGAAAGGAGGUUGUGUGUGCUGUUAAACGGGCCCAUGAUCAUGGAUUUGGGCCCAGGCAAUGGAGGCCCGCCCUGGAUACCAUCUAUGAGGCCUAGAUUUUUUCUUCUUAUUAGAGAGAGUAGGAAACCCCAUUCUUUGGUUUAUAUGUUUAGGAACUUACCAUGUACAACUGUAUACAUUCGUCUAACCGUGCAACUAAAAAACGAAGACAGAAAAAAUAUUCUUUUUUCAAAUUAUUGUCUCAUAUUUUGUAGAUAUUUUUUUAAAUCAGCUCAACGUGCGAUGUCUUUAGUUGCACGAGUACAUCAAUGGUUACACCUGAUGUGGUAUUUUUUUGCUGAAAGGAG
rnacentral:misc_RNA from 1 species